GACGAACGCUGGCGGCGUGCUUAACACAUGCAAGUCGAACGGAAAGGCCCUGCUUUUGUGGGGUGCUCGAGUGGCGAACGGGUGAGUAACACGUGAGUAACCUGCCCUUGACUUUGGGAUAACUUCAGGAAACUGGGGCUAAUACCGGAUAGGAGCUCCUGCUGCAUGGUGGGGGUUGGAAAGUUUCGGCGGUUGGGGAUGGACUCGCGGCCUAUCAGCUUGUUGGUGGGGUAGUGGCUUACCAAGGCUUUGACGGGUAGCCGGCCUGAGAGGGUGACCGGCCACAUUGGGACUGAGAUACGGCCCAGACUCCUACGGGAGGCAGCAGUGGGGAAUAUUGCACAAUGGGCGGAAGCCUGAUGCAGCAACGCCGCGUGCGGGAUGACGGCCUUCGGGUUGUAAACCGCUUUCGCCUGUGACGAAGCGUGAGUGACGGUAAUGGGUAAAGAAGCACCGGCUAGCUACGUG
rnacentral:rRNA from 1 species